AUUGAACGCUGGCGGCAGGCCUAACACAUGCAAGACGAACGGUAACAGGAAGAAGCUUGCUUCUUUGCUGACGAGUGGCGGACGGGUGAGUAAUGUCUGGGAAACUGCCUGAUGGAGGGGGAUAACUACUGGAAACGGUAGCUAAUACCGCAUAACGUCGCAAGACCAAAGAGGGGGACCUUCGGGCCUUUUGCCAUCGGAUGUGCCCAGAUGGGAUUAGCUAGUAGGUGGGGUAACGGCUCACCUAGGCGACGAUCCCUAGCUGGUCUGAGAGGAUGACCAGCCACACUGGAACUGAGACACGGUCCAGACUCCUACGGGAGGCAGCAGUGGGGAAUAUUGCACAAUGGGCGCAAGCCUGAUGCAGCCAUGCCGCGUGUAUGAAGAAGGCCUUCGGGUUGUAAAGUACUUUCAGCGGGGAGGAAGGGAGUAAAGUUAAUACCUUUGCUCAUUGACGUUACCCGCAGAAGAAGCACCGGCUAACUCCGUG
rnacentral:rRNA from 1 species